UAGGAAAUAUUAAGUAUCCUUAAGACUGUUCACCACCUAUCGUUCGUGGCGUAUGUAACUUUAGCGAUGAGUAUAGACAAUAAAACAAACGUCCGAUCGAUUUUGACAUUUAUCAAUCCAGUUUUUUUUCGCAGUUCGAUAAUUUCUUUCAGAUGGAGUUCUUGGUUGUAGAUCCUUGGGAAGAUCCCUUGAGCUGGACAAUUUCUUUCAAUAGGGACAAGUCGAGCUCGAUUUAGGUACUUUGACUUUACUUGGAUAGAGCGACCUUCAAAAUAUUCACCCCAGAUUUUCUGUUCCUUUUCAUGCGCUCGAUUUAUCGUCGAUUUAUUAUCGAGGGAUUUGGAUUUUUACACGGGAGUUUGAAAUCUUUCCGCAUUAAAUACAGAGAGAUUCAUUCUUCCGUACGGACAAGAUAGGGAAUCUCAUUUUAAAGAUGAAGGUUUAAGCGAGAACAUGAUUUUUUCAAAUUUUUUAUAAAGCUUUAUUUUUAUGUAUAAAUUAUUGCUUUAAAAACCUUAUUUUUUGAUGCGAUUUUUUUUCAAAGAAAAUAAAGCUUUUCCAAAAGUUCCAAAAAGCUAUAUCCUCGCUUAAAUCUUCAUCUUUAAAAUGAGAUCUUUUUUAUCAAAAUCGUUAAAGAAUUACGCUUGUACUCAUUGUUAGCGUAAACCAUUAUAAAAUCAGGAAUGAUGAAUAGUCUUUAACAAUUAAUAAAAUGAAAAGAACUAAAGUGUAAUGAUCUUAUGUCUAAAGAAUCUAUAAAAAAAGAUAGAACAUAUAAAUUAGAAGAUGUAGGUAAUAAAAAUAUAAAUAUAAAUACUA